CAGGCCGACCGCGUUGCAAAAGCUUUAAGGCUGACUGCUUGCCGUUCUCUGAGCCAUUUGUCUUCACCGAGAAGCUUGAAGCACAAGCGGGAAGUGCGAAAACAACUGCUGCAUACUCCGUGCGCUCACUUCACAAUGAAGACAGUAUUGCUAGCUUUCUGCCUUGGGGUGUUUGCCUUCACUACAUUGUCGAACAUGACAGCAGCCUACAAAGUGACCCAUGUUGAAAUAGGCCUUGGAUGUCCACAGUCACUGCUGAAUUGUUCGCAAACAUGCCGAAGCACUUAUGGUCAUCAAGGUGGACAUUGCAUUGGGCCGCUCAACACCGUCUGCACCUGUACCUGAACGGGCUUCAAAAGGUUUAAUUAUGCUGCCUUACCCUUCUUGUUCACAUUUUAUUGCUUGGAGCACAAGAUGCCCGAGUGAAAAUUUUCGCUCAUCAUGGUAACAGAUUGUACCCGUUGUAAUGACGCGGGUACCUCGACGCAUUGUACCAUUAAAAAUACGCAAUUUCUUUUUAUGGUACAUCGUUGGUAUGUUUUUGAUAAGUUAUCAUAUCUUCGUGAUCACUUUAUUAUGAAUAAAGUUUGAUUGUUGCAAGUUG